AACGAACGCUGGCGGCAUGCCUAACACAUGCAAGUCGAACGAGACCUUCGGGUCUAGUGGCGCACGGGUGCGUAACGCGUGGGAACCUGCCCUUAGGUUCGGAAUAACUCCCCGAAAGGGGUGCUAAUACCGGAUAAUGUCUUCGGACCAAAGAUUUAUCGCCUUUGGAUGGGCCCGCGUUGGAUUAGCUAGUUGGUAGGGUAAAAGCCUACCAAGGCGACGAUCCAUAGCUGGUCUGAGAGGAUGAUCAGCCACACUGGGACUGAGACACGGCCCAGACUCCUACGGGAGGCAGCAGUGGGGAAUAUUGGACAAUGGGCGAAAGCCUGAUCCAGCAAUGCCGCGUGAGUGAUGAAGGCCUUAGGGUUGUAAAGCUCUGUUACCCGGGAUGAUAAUGACAGUACCGGGAGAAUAAGCUCCGGCUAAAUCCGUG
rnacentral:rRNA from 1 species